UGGAUUUUAACCAAGGGACUGCUAGCCAGGGAAAAGUCGAUAAAGCCAUUGCACGAAUGCUGAAGCCCUGCCAAAAGACGCAGAUCCUGCCAGCGUCCAGCAGGACCACAUGAAGAGCCUCAGGGGGGAUGUUUUUGUCCAAGCUACGGGGGUCUGGAGGAGCAGGGUCACAGAGAGGCUUCACUAAACGAAUCAUCAAUGUGUCAAGCGGCCUCCUUCGAGAGGCGGACAAACUACAGGGACUGUGUGACAAGUGACAGAUCAGAGAGUCGUCGGUAUGGCUUCUUAUCUCUCCUGUGUUUAUCUCAUGGCUGUGGCCUUCACUCCCCUGCAAACUUCUCACUUCACUUGGCAUGCCAGAUGAGCAAUGAGGUCUCAACAGGUCAGAUUCUACUCCAUUACUUAUGAAUUACAAUCCCCAAAGAAACAGAAGGGAAGAGGGAUAGAAGGGAAGAGAGGGGUGACAGAGAGAAGGGAGAGAAAAGGAACAGAGGGGGAUAUGAUAAAAGUGUAAGACAGAAUGUGAUUGGCUUUUGAAAGCUGAGAGGAAGCAAACUGAGAAAGUAACUGAUAUUCAUAAUAUUGUGGGUCACAGCAUAUCUUCAUGUUUUAUACUUGAACUAUGAAUUUAUAAUAUUGAAUGUGGUAUUGAA